rnacentral:rRNA from 1 species
GACCUGGCGGCAGCUUACCAUGCAAGUCGAACGGUAGCACAAAGGAGCUUGCUCCUUGGGUGACGAGUGGCGGACGGGUGAGUAAUGCUUGGGAAUCUGGCUUAUGGAGGGGGAUAACUACUGGAAACGGUAGCUAAUACCGCGUAAUAUCGUAAGAUUAAAGGGUGGGACUUUCGGGCCACCUGCCAUAAGAUGAGCCCAAGUGGGAUUAGGUAGUUGGUGGGGUAAAGGCCUACCAAGCCUGCGAUCUCUAGCUGGUCUGAGAGGAUGGCCAGCCACACUGGAACUGAGACACGGUCCAGACUCCUACGGGAGGCAGCAGUGGGGAAUAUUGCACAAUGGGGGGAACCCUGAUGCAGCCAUGCCGCGUGAAUGAAGAAGGCCUUCGGGUUGUAAAGUUCUUUCGGUGAUGAGGAAGGCAGGUAUUUUAAUAGAAUACUUGAUUGACGUUAGUCACAGAAGAAGCACCGGCUAACUCCGUGCCAGCAGCCGCGGUAAU